rnacentral:rRNA from 1 species
UCGCUACUAUUAGGGUUCGACUAAGCCAUGCAAGUCGGAGGGGCUCUUCGGAGUCACAGGCAAAAUGCUCAGUAACACGUCGUUAAUCUAACCUUAGAUUCGGGAUAACCUUGGAAAACUGAGGCUAAAACCGGAUAUGGGAAAAUAAUUGGAAAAUGUUUUCCUUCAAAAGCAAUGUCUAAGGAUGAGACGGCGGCGGAUUAGGUUGUUGGCGGGGUAAUGGCCCACCAAGCCGACGAUCCGUAGGGGCCGUGAGAGCGGUAGCCCCGAGAAGGACACUGAGAUACUGGUCCUAGCCCUACGGGGUGCAGCAGGCGCGAAACCUUUACAAUGCACGAAAGUGUGAUAAGGGAACCCUAAGUGCUCAUGUUUUACAUGGGCUUUUGCCAAGAGUAAAUAUCUUGGCGAAUAAGUGGUGGGAAAGACUGGUGCCAGCAGCCGCGGUAACACCAGCGCCACAAGUAGGGACCACUACUAUUGGGCCUAAAGCGUCCGUAGCCGGUUGAAUAAAUUUCUUGUGAAAUUGUUGGGCUUAACCUAACAACGUGCAGGAAAAACUGUUCAGCUUGGAACCGGGAGAAGUCAGGAGUAUGCUGGGGGGAGCGGUAAAAUGUUAUAAUCCCCGGUAGACUACCAGUGGCGAAGGCGCCUGACUAGAACGGAUUCGACGGUGAGGGACGAAAGCCAGGGGAGCGAAGCGGAUUAGAUACCCGUGUAGUCCUGGCCGUAAACGCUGCGAGCUAGGUGUUGCAUAUUCUACAUGAAUAUGCAGUAUCGAAGCGAAGGUGAUAAGCUCGCCGCCUGGGAAGUAUGGUCGCAAGGCUGAAACUUAAAGGAAUUGGCGGGGGAGCACUACAAGGGGUGCGGCGUGCGGUUUAAUCUAAUUCAACGCAGAGAAUCUCACCAGAAGCGACGGCAGGAUGAAAGUCAGGCUAAAGGUCUUACUUGACGAGCCGAGAGGUAGUGCAUGGCCGCCGUCAGCUCGUGCCGUAAGGUGUCCUGUUAAGUCAGGCAACGAGCGAGACCUGCAUCUACAAUUGCUAACGGGUUCUUUUGAACGACUGAGCACAUUGUAGAGACUGCCCUGGAAACAGGGAGGAAGGUGCAGGCUACGGUAGGUCUGUAUGCUCCGAAUCUUCUGGGCUACACGCGCGCAACAAUGGUAAGGACAAUGGGAUGCAACUCCGAAAGGAGAAGCUAAUCCUCGAAACCUUAUCCAAGUCUAGAUUGAGGAUUGUAACUCAUCCUCAUGACAAUGGAAUCCCUAGUAAUCAGAGUUUAUCAUACUCCGGUGAACAUGUCCCUGCUCCUUGCACACACCGCCCGUCAAGCCACCCGAGUAGGGUUUAGGUGAGAGGCAAAUUUUAUUUGCAUCGAACCUAAGCACAGCGAGGAGGGCUAAGUCGUCACAAGGUA